GACGAACGCUGGCGGCGUGCUUAACACAUGCAAGUCGAACGGAAAGGCCCUGCUUUUGUGGGGUGCUCGAGUGGCGAACGGGUGAGUAACACGUGAGUAACCUGCCCUUGACUUUGGGAUAACUUCAGGAAACUGGGGCUAAUACCGGAUAGGAGCUCCUGCUGCAUGGUGGGGGUUGGAAAGUUUCGGCGGUUGGGGAUGGACUCGCGGCUUAUCAGCUUGUUGGUGGGGUAGUGGCUUACCAAGGCUUUGACGGGUAGCCGGCCUGAGAGGGUGACCGGUCACAUUGGGACUGAGAUACGGCCCAGACUCCUACGGGAGGCAGCAGUGGGGAAUAUUGCACAAUGGGCGGAAGCCUGAUGCAGCAACGCCGCGUGCGGGAUGACGGCCUUCGGGUUGUGAACCGCUUUCGCCUGUGACGAAGCGUGAGUGACGGUAAUGGGUAAAGAAGCACCGGCUAACUACGUG
rnacentral:rRNA from 1 species